rnacentral:lncRNA from 1 species
CAAGAACCAAUGUGAAUCUUAGAACUACUUAGAUUUUUUUUUUUUUUACCCUUUUUUUUUUCUAUAAGAAAACCAGUUACCGCUAUAUAAGGUAACAGGCUGAUCCUGCGUGGCUGGAUGCGAGGGAAGUCUCCACUUGGGGAUACAGCUACUAUCUUAUUAAGGAAGUGGGUGGGGUUUAUACAUGUAGCAGCUGUGGAAAUGGGGAGAUCUCCAAGUGCAAGGUAACCCAAAGUCAAGAGUAGAGUUUUGUAGUCCAGCCCCUGCCACCACAUGGAAAUUCUCCUCCACUACCGGCCUUUGGAGAGGAGUCAAGCUAAGCCAAAGGAGAGUUGAACUCAAGGGCAAAACCCUUAAGGCCAAUCUCCAUGUACAGAGGGGAAAUUGACCCUGUUUGAGCUACUGAGCCCGCUGGGAUUUGUCUGAACCCAGACCUGUCUCCCACAGCCAAUUUACACCUCUUAUCUGAUCAUCCAGUCCAGACGGAAGGGUGAAUUGACCGAGAAUCUGCGCGUGUCCAUGGCAAUGGCGUUAAAACCCAAGCAUAGAUCAAAGCUCUCCAGACGAGGAGGGGAGGGGUAGAUGGUUAUGGGGUCUGGGUUCUUUUGGCCCCAAGCGAUGUGUCCCGGAGGUGGGGACAUUAGGCCUGGGAGUUGCCACCAUUUGAAGAAACCCAUUGUCAGGACUUGAAUGAUUUUCUGAGCAAAACCCAGUCCCCCCGCAGAUCAUGAUUAACUCUAGCAAAGGGGACGUUCGUAGUGGGCGCUGAUCGGGAAUGGCUAGCGCCAGGGGGCUCUCCUCUCUGUCUGAAACCGAAAGAACAGGAAGUGGAGGGAGGGGAGCCGAGCAGGGAGCACACGCCAAUAAACCUGAGCGUGGAUCUCCUAUCUUUUAGAAGAAAUUCAGCCGGAGCCGCAGAAGCCGCAACGCAUAUGGGCAAGAUCCCCUAAAACUUGGUCUGGAAAGCUGAUUCCCGAAGGUUCCCCAACCCAGAUGAUUCCCAGAGGGGCGACAAGUCUAUUCCAAAUCCCUCCCCCACCUCCAAACACUAGGGCUACCGGCGCCCGCCACCCAGCCGCUGGACGCCUGCGACCCGGUGGGAAAGACCCCCGGCACAGCCAGCCCGAGUCGAAGGGCGGGGGCAGCCCUUCAAUCAGAGCGCGCCUUGCCUCCAUUAACUUGUGUUGAUAUUAAAAAGAAAUCAAUCAGUGAAAAUGAAGCA